UUGCUUUUUUGGUGGCGACCGGCGCACGGGUGAGUAACGCGUAUGCAACCUACCUUUUACUGGGGGAUAGCCCGGAGAAAUCCGGAUUAAUACCCCAUAGUAUUAUCGGAAAGCAUUUUUUGAUAAUUAAAGUUUCGGCGGUAAAAGAUGGGCAUGCGUUCCAUUAGCUAGAUGGUAAGGUAACGGCUUACCAUGGCAACGAUGGAUAGGGGGUCUGAGAGGAUGGUCCCCCACACUGGUACUGAGACACGGACCAGACUCCUACGGGAGGCAGCAGUGAGGAAUAUUGGUCAAUGGACGCAAGUCUGAACCAGCCAUGCCGCGUGAAGGAUGAAUGCCCUAUGGGUUGUAAACUUCUUUUAUUUGGGAAUAAACCUCUCUACGUGUAGAGAGCUGAAGGUACCAAACGAAUAAGCACCGGCUAACUCCGUGCCAGCAGCCGCGGUAAUACGGAGGGUGCAAGCGUUAUCCGGAAUCAUUGGGUUUAAAGGGUCCGCAGGCGGAUUUAUAAGUCAGUGGUGAAAUCUCACAGCUUAACUGUGAAACUGCCAUUGAUACUGUAAGUCUUGAAUUCGGUCGAAGUGGGCGGAAUAUGACAUGUAGCGGUGAAAUGCUUAGAUAUGUCAUAGAACACCGAUAGCGAAGCAGCUCACUAGGCCUGGAUUGACGCUCAG
rnacentral:rRNA from 1 species